GGAGGGGUUCCCGAGUGGCCAAAGGGGGCAGACUGUAAAUCUGUUAUCGACGAUUUCGAUGGUUCGAAUCCAUCCCCCUCCA
rnacentral:tRNA from 1 species